ensembl:lncRNA
CUGGGAAACGCUCGCCCCCUGCGCAGGCGGGCAGAGAGUUUAGCUCUGCCACAAGACUCCUGUAGCUGUUACUUCCACUCAAUUGGAGGUGACUGUCCAAUUGUAUGUAGCAACGAGGUAUGUCCACCAGAUGGCUCUACUUCAAGGAGUAAUACAAUUCUGGAAUUUGAAUAAUAAACUUAGGAGGGUUCCAGUGAUUUCUUUCAAAUAUCUUCAUGAAGAUUUCUUUAAGAAGUCUGCUGAACCAUUAUUGGAGUCGGAGGAUUGUAAUAUUUUUUUGUGGUAUGAAUAUGGCUUUUGCUCUGAGAAAGCCUGAGUAAAUCUCACCAGAUUGUAACACUUUAAAAACUGUAACUUGCACGACCUUGAACACAAAGCAAAAAGCCACUGCAGAUUUCUGCUAUGACAAGGAACAGUCCUCCUUGUUCCAGACCCGAUCCAGGCAGAGGGAGAGGAUGUGGCUUCAUGAACACUUCUAUUAAAAGACUGAUCCUGUACUGUGUGUGAAUAAUGCAUGUAUCUAUCACAUACCACUUUUCUUUUAAGUCAGGAAACCGUCCUUUAUCUGUGCAACCUCAAUUCAUUCCCGUAUAAAUAUUCAUCAUGACGCAGUCUUCAACUUUGCACAAACAGCUUCUCCAGACUAAGCUGUUUGUUUUGGGGACUCUGAUCUUGAUGCGAGCAGCCAGCAGAGCCAUGAAAGAAGCCUCAGUUACAUGAAAUUCUGGAAGCUUCGGAACAAUUGGAAACAAUCUUCUAUUUUAUAAGACGUUUUCAGAUUAAUGUUUUAAUGCAAAAACUAAAACAAGGUAACAGAAUAUAAAACUGAGGUGAGCUGAUGAAUCAGUGGACAUCAUCAUGCAAACUUAACUUUUAUUUUGAUACUAAACAAAUUAGUCUUUCCAUUUCAACUCAGAUUCAACCUAAAUGAUGUAUUAAAUAGUAACAUCAGAGAAAAGUCAUGUUUGGAAGGGACUUCUGGGGAUCAUAGUUAAAUAUCACUUGGGAGGCUAAGAAAAAAAGGGGAAAACGGUGUAAGCUAGACAAUAAAAUUUGAAUCUUAAAAGAAUUCUUUUACACAAUGCAUUUUUUUCAUUGUAAACUCUCAGAAUUGAUGAAAUUGGAGUAUUCAGUUAAAAAAAAAUAGACUAAAUCAGGAUUGACUGUUCCUCACAGUAAGAACUACUUAAUGGGGCAGACAUAGCUAACACUGGGGAAACCAAG